UAUAAAUAGGUCAGUUAAUCCUGCCCAAUUUUUUAUAAAUGUUCUUUUCAAACUACUAACAUGAUUAGCCAUGAUUGCAUUUUGGCCCAAGUGAAGGCCUAUUCUUACUUUUUGAUGGCUCACUCAUCUUUACAAGGUUAAAUAGCCUUCAUUGCUUGAAAGCUUCCCACAAGUUUUACUUUUCUUAAUCACAUUAUUCCAACUUCAAUAACUUCAUAUUUACAUUAUUAAUAGACUGUCAAAGUGUAUUGAUGUCUGCAUCAGUUUUGAAAAUCCCUUAAGAUUUUCUUUGCAUUGGAUCUAGAGAAAUCAACCCAUUUGGAGAAGAGUGUGAGCAAAAGUGACAGCCCUGCUCUCUUGGCCAUGGAAUUACCAAUGCAUGCACUUAGAUGCACAGGUUGGAAAUAAAAUAGAUUCAGAAGUAGCCACCCAUUUUCCCAAGAAAGGAAGAUUUUUUUUAACUAAAUUAAAAAAACAAAACUAGUUUCAUAUAUGUUUCCACUGUAGUGUUCCAAGGAAACCAGAGGCAGGUAAAACUUUAAAGCAGGAAAAUACAGCAAGAAAUAAUGUUUUCUGUUUGUUUUUAAUCAUUUAUAUUAUUUUCUUUAUUCUUUAAAUAUACUUCCCUCUUCUCAAAGAGUUGUAUUUCUAAAGUCAAUGGAAAAUGAAGACAUUAUUGCAUACUAAGUAAUAGAAGACAUAUUAAUGCUUGGUC
rnacentral:lncRNA from 1 species